UUUUUUUUUCAGUUUCGUGUCUCUGCAGGAAUUUUUUUUAAUGCAUUUAACCUCUGCACGAAUUUUUUUUCAAGACUAUUUGUACUUCGCUGUUUGCUUACACGAUUUUUUUUUCUCUGACGUAAUGGCUGCACGAAUUUUUUUCCAGGCAUUUUCCUUUGCACGAAUUUUUUUGGGGGAAUUUUCACACCCCCUCCCGGGAUUUCUAA